rnacentral:rRNA from 1 species
GACGAACGCUGGCGGCGUGCUUAACACAUGCAAGUCGAACGGAAAGGCCCUGCUUUUGUGGGGUGCUCGAGUGGCGAACGGGUGAGUAACACGUGAGUAACCUGCCCUUGACUUUGGGAUAACUUCAGGAAACUGGGGCUAAUACCGGAUAGGAGCUCCUGCUGCAUGGUGGGGGUUGGAAAGUUUCGGCGGUUGGGGAUGGACUCGCAGCUUAUCAGCUUGUUGGUGGGGUAGUGGCUUACCAAGGCUUUGACGGGUAGCCGGCCUGAGAGGGUGACCGGCCACAUUGGGACUGAGAUACGGCCCAGACUCCUACGGGAGGCAGCAGUGGGGAAUAUUGCACAAUGGGCGGAAGCCUGAUGCAGCAACGCCGCGUGCGGGAUGACGGCCUUCGGGUUGUAAACCGCUUUCGCCUGUGACGAAGCGUGAGUGACGGUAAUGGGUAAAGAAGCACCGGCUAACUACGUGCCAGCAGCCGCGGUGAUACGUAGGGUGCGAGCGUUGUCCGGAUUUAUUGGGCGUAAAGGGCUCGUAGGUGGUUGAUCGCGUCGGAAGUGUAAUCUUGGGGCUUAACCCUGAGCGUGCUUUCGAUACGGGUUGACUUGAGGAAGGUAGGGGAGAAUGGAAUUCCUGGUGGAGCGGUGGAAUGCGCAGAUAUCAGGAGGAACACCAGUGGCGAAGGCGGUUCUCUGGGCCUUUCCUGACGCUGAGGAGCGAAAGCGUGGGGAGCGAACAGGCUUAGAUACCCUGGUAGUCCACGCUGUAAACGGUGGGUACUAGGUGUGGGGUCCAUUCCACGGGUUCCGUGCCGUAGCUAACGCUUUAAGUACCCCGCCUGGGGAGUACGGCCGCAAGGCUAAAACUCAAAGGAAUUGACGGGGCCCCGCACAAGCGGCGGAGCAUGCGGAUUAAUUCGAUGCAACGCGUAGAACCUUACCUGGGUUUGACAUGGAUCGGGAGCGCUCAGAGAUGGGUGUGCCUCUUUUGGGGUCGGUUCACAGGUGGUGCAUGGCUGUCGUCAGCUCGUGUCGUGAGAUGUUGGGUUAAGUCCCGCAACGAGCGCAACCCUUGUUCACUGUUGCCAGCACGUUAUGGUGGGGACUCAGUGGAGACCGCCGGGGUCAACUCGGGGGAAGGUGGGGAUGACGUCAAGUCAUCAUGCCCCUUAUGUCCAGGGCUUCACGCAUGCUACAAUGGCUGGUACAGAGAGUGGCGAGCCUGUGAGGGUGAGCGAAUCUCGGAAAGCCGGUCUCAGUUCGGAUUGGGGUCUGCAACUCGACCUCAUGAAGUCGGAGUCGCUAGUAAUCGCAGAUCAGCAACGCUGCGGUGAAUACGUUCCCGGG